UUGAUAAAGCAUUUGCUUAGCCUUCAGACCCAUGUAAUUAAUGCCUGUUUCCUUUAUAGAACAGGAAGUAACAUUCAGUAAUACCUUGAGCAGCAUUUGCUAACUCUCUCUCUCUCUCUCUCUCUCUCUCUCUCUCUCUCUCUCUCUCUCUCUCAUGUACUUAUUUCUAAGGUGACCAAAAUCUGUUUCACUCUGCAGCACUUGUCCUGGAGGUUUUGUAGACAGAACUGGAAGUGACUGAAAGAAAACGGAGACUCAUUCUUUCAGCAAGGUGACCAAAAUCUGUUUUGCUCUGCAGCACUUGUCCCGGAGGCUUUGUAGACAGAGUGACUGAACGAAAACCUAAAUGAGAAAUAGGAACAACGUGUUUAGAAGAUGAAGUGUGGAAGCCUCGGCAGCUUCAGUAUGCUGUGUACCUCAUCUUGAACUCUUUCACAUGGUGAUUCCUACACAUAAUUGCACACUGUAUGUGUUUAGCUAUCCUAUCUUACAAAGACUUAUGCCAACACUGUAUCUGCCUUUCCACAAUGCAAUAUAAAAAGUGCUGCAUAGACCAUUUAGAGAAGCAAUGUCUCGUGACUUUUACUGUAUGUUUAUUUUUGAGCAAGUGUCAUUUGUUUUGUAAAAUAUCUUUGCAGAUUUUCUUUUCAUGCCUGGACACUUUUUUUAAUUUCAAAUAUUGCUUUGAAUUGAUGCAAAUUGAAG